AAAUUGAAGAGUUUGAUCAUGGCUCAGAUUGAACGCUGGCGGCAGGCCUAACACAUGCAAGUCGAACGGUAACAGGAAGCAGCUUGCUGCUUUGCUGAC
rnacentral:rRNA from 3 species